GCCCUAGUAGCUCAGUGCGAGAGCAUCGGUCUUGUAAGCCGGGGGUGGAGGUUAAACCCCUCCCUAGAGCU
rnacentral:tRNA from 1 species